rnacentral:rRNA from 1 species
UACGUAGGGUGCGAGCGUUGUCCGGAAUUAUUGGGCGUAAAGAGCUUGUAGGCGGUUUGUCGCGUCGACUGUGAAAACCCGAGGCUUAACCUCGGGCCUGCAGUCGAUACGGGCAGACUAGAGUUCGGUAGGGGGAGACUGGAAUUCCUGGUGUAGCGGUGAAAAUGCGCAGAUAUCAGGAGGAACACCGGUGGCGAAGGCGGGUCUCUGGGCCGAUACUGACGCUGAGGAGCGAAAGCGUGGGGAGCGAACAGG